CAGGGCAGGCCUGCUGGGGACUGAUGGUCCCUGUUCCUGGUCUCCAAGAAAGAAUAUAGACUGUGUUCCAGAUGGCUAAAGAAGAAAGAAGCAGCAUCCAACCGCAGACCUCUUAAUUAAGAAGAGAAGCUAAACAGCAUCGCAGAGAAACCAAAGAGCUUUGUGGCGGCCCGGCCGCCUGCACCUGCCUCUGGCAUUGCCUGAAAGGAGCACGAAAGGCCCCUGGCCUGGUGUCUGGGAGUUGUCUGUUGUUGGGGUGCGCCAGCAACUUGCAAAGAGCUGUAACGCUGGUGUUUCUUACACCGGGACACCUAGUGGCUGUUGCUGACCUGCACUACUGGCCAGUGCUGCCCAGCACCAUUGACGGUGGCCAGCAGUCUGUGUCCGCGUCACCUCUGAGAGCUGUUAACUGCUCCUGACUGUCCACCUCCCGCUGCUGCUGCCUCCUUGCUGUCUGGGCCAUCCGGACCUUGAGACUGUGGCUGUGGGCUGUGGUGGCAUCUCAGCGGCCCCGCCUGCGAGCACCCCCAGCUGCAGUGAGUUGGGGCCCGGCCCCGCUGCUUGCUGGUGAGCCACAAGCCCCAGGCCCUCGCUGACGGGACAGCGCCAUCUUGAAGGAGCCGCCUUUUGUUUGGGAUGUGUGGACACUGUGGACGCUCUCUGGGUUCAUAGGACACUUAAAGAAUGGCACAGAAUCUAAUAAAAAGCCCACUUGCAAGUGGAGGACGCCAUGUGGAAGACACAACGGAGGCUGACUUGCAGACCCAGCACAAAGGUGGGACGGAAAGAGCUAUUGAGGCUGCCUGGAGAAACACAGGUGAACUGAUAUGUUUACUACAGCAGAGAAGAAACUCC